GUAGUAUGUAGUGACCCGCUCUUUUAUAUAUUUUAAAUCCAGUAAUGAGUGUUUAUUUUUGUUCAUCAGUGAAUGAAAACGGUUUUUAUCCUAAUAUGAAUUCAGCUUAUGAUCCUGAAUUUAUAUUGUUAAAGCAGUUAAUGAUAUUAUUUCAGAGUUAUAACUGACUUAGCAAAGUCACGUUAUUUAUUUAAGCGAGAUGAAAUUUGAUUUUAUUUUUACUCAGAUCGUGAAUUAUUUCCGACUCAGGAAGUUAAUUAAAUCUGCGGAUUUAAUUUAGAUAUCAGAACAACGAACGAAUUAAAUCUACGGAUUUAAUUUAGAUUCAUUUUAUAAUUUAUCGGUUUUAGUGAGAAAUCACAUGUCGAAAUACGAGAUUUAUUUAAAUAAACAGUAUCAAGCAUAUACGAGCACACGAUCCAUCUUACAGUUACAGAAUCACCGAGACAGAGAAAAUACAUCAAUAAUUCUCCUCUACAUUUUUUUUCCUUUCUUUUUCUUCUCUUUUUCUUUCCAUUAAUUUUGUUCCCCACUCCAUCAACUCCACUACCCUAUGCUCCCCACCAUCUCCACUACCUUUGCUCCCCAUCAACUCCAACACUUCACCCAUUCCUUCCAUUUCGCACCAGCAAUCACAAAGAGAAGGAAGACUUGGCUUAACUACUUUGCCAAGAUUUCAAGCUGCUCCAGUCCAGUAGUACCCCAACACUCGAAGCUAGAGUUUAUUGGGUGAAAAACCGUGCAUGAGGUCGAGCGCAAGAAUAAGAGCUCGUCAAGGAGUCACUAAUCUGUAGCAAAGCUUUGCUAUCAGGUUGAGCAGCUGCCGAUGGUGAUGAAGUGACGAGCGGGACUCUUUUGUCUUAUUAUGUAUUAAUGAACUCUAGGGUUACAUGUCUUCAUACAUGUAAUCAGAACCUUAUUCCGCUGCGUACUCAGAAGUUUUAUGUUAUUUUGGAUAAGUCGGAGUUAUCCGAACUUGUUAGUUAUUUGAGUCUAUACGACAAAAACUCUGUUAUAUUAUAGAUAUCUAUGUUGUUAACAAUGAUGAAAUACGAUCCUUUCUUGUUUGAUUA